UAACACGUGAGUGACCUGCCUUUUAGACUGGAACAACUUACCGAAAGGUGAGCUAAUGCCGGAUGAGUUAUAUAAGUGCAUGUUUAUAUAGGAACAGUUGGGGAGACCUGACGCUGAAAGAUGGACUCGCGUCCCAUUAGCUAGUUGGUAGGGUAAUGGCCUACCAAGGCGACGAUGGGUAGCCGGCCUGAGAGGGUGGCCGGCCACACUGGGACUGAGACACGGCCCAGACUCCUACGGGAGGCAGCAGUGGGGAAUUUUGCGCAAUGCUCGUAAGAGUGACGCAGCGACGCCGCGUGAAUGACGAAGGCCUUCGGGUCGUAAAGUUCUUUCGACAGGGAAGAAAAUGCCUAUAAGUAACUGUGUAUGUAUUGACGGUACCUGUAUAAGCAGCCCCGGCUAACUCCGUGCCAGCAGCCGCGGUAAUACGGAGGGGGCGAGCGUUGUUCGGAGUGACUGGGCGUAAAGAGCACGUAGGCGGUGUUGUAAGUCAUUAGUCAAAGACUAGAGCUCAACUUUAGUAAGGCUAGUGAUACUAUAAUACUAGAGUAUCAGAGAGGAUUGCAGAAUUCCUGGUGUAGCGGUGAAAUGCGUAGAUAUCAGGAGGAAUACCGUUAGCGAAGGCGGCAAUCUGGCUGGAAACUGACGCUGAGGUGCGAAAGCGUGGGUAGCAAACAGGAUUAGAUACCCUGGUAGUCCACGCUGUAAACGAUGGAUGCUAGGUGU
rnacentral:rRNA from 1 species